rnacentral:lncRNA from 1 species
GGAUUGUUUUCUUGCCUUCAUUCACAAAUAAUGCUGUAAAUAAUUUGAUAGAAUAUUCAUGUGGGCAUUAUGUUAUUAUUUUGUGUUCAUUAUACUUACAUUGUACAUUAUGUAUAGACAUUUAUCCAUUGUUGAAUAUAUGUUGAACUCCUGAUACAGUUGCUGUCUCAUUGACAUGCUUCAUGCCUCAUUUUAUGCAUGCAUUUAAGUCACAAGGUGCUUGUCUCUGAGUUUUUUUUCAGAAGCAAGUCCCUUCGGUACAAUGUUUUGUUUCCAGGACCAAAUACACAAGUUAUAUAUUACAAUUUUAACGAAAAGUAUUUUAUGAUAAUGCUAGUCAGGUUGUAUACAUAGUUUUUUUUCACAAUAUUACUUGAGUUGUCUUAUACAUGUAUAUAUGUUAUAUAAGUUGUCUAUAUAGUACAUGUUAUGAAACAAUAAAACAUGACUGUGAUUAUAA